rnacentral:misc_RNA from 1 species
GCCAACUCCACACCCUGACUUAUUACCUAGCUUAUCACUUGGUGGCAGACUUGAAGCUGUAAAUGACUCUAUACGAGAUCUUUCAGCAAUGCCUUUGUUGCCCAAUUUGAAAUUCCCCUCUCAGGAUGCAUCAAUAUACAAUCAGCUAGACAAGGAAGUGCCUCCCACACUGGGUUUGGGUCAGAUACCAUCUACCUUUCCACCAUUACCUGAAAACCAUAGGAAGGUACUUGAAAACAUAAUGAUGAGGACUGGGUCUGGAUCAAAUAACUUGUAUAGAAAGAAAUCGAGAAUAGAUGGCUGGUCUGAAGAUGAACUUG